GGGCGAUUAGCUCAGCUGGCAGAGCAGCUGACUCUUAAUCAGCGGGUCACAGGUUCGAAUCCUGUAUCGCCCA
rnacentral:tRNA from 2 species